GGGCUGCCUUGGAGUAUGAGCCGCAAUUCAGGCUUUCUGCCUACAUGGACUGGGGUGGGCAGACGCUGGAAUGGAAGGCUGUGAAGUCCUUCCUUACGUUAGAGAUGAGGACAGAACAGGGGGAACAGAGCUUCUGAAACAGCAGUUUAGCCUGGGAUUUUUCUGGAGUCCUGACUCAGCAGAUUAGUCAUGGCAUUUGAUAGGCGUUUGGGAUCUCCCUACAUGUCUGCAGCUCUUGGCUAACAGUAGACAUUAGCUGGCAUGUUCUGUGUGGCUUCCCCUAACCUCCCUGCCACCCUUUCUGUGUCUAGCCUUCUUGCGGGAAGAAGUGCAGCGGGCAGGCCUGACACUGACCCCACCCGAGGGGACACUGCCAGCACCACCUCCCCGAGACCUGCUGCGCAUCCAGGAGGAAACGGACCGCUUGGCCCAGGAGCUUCGGGAUGUUCGAGGCAACCAACAGGCACUUCGGGCCCAGCUGCACCAGCUACAGCUCCACUCAGCCGUGCUGGGCCAGAGCCACGCCCCUCCGAUGGCAGCUGUCCAUACGGAGGGACCCACCACUGAGAGAACACCCCUGCUUUCAGCCACCCCAGGGCCACAUGCAGACCUGAAGGUCAAUUUUGUGGCAGGUGCUGUGGAGCCUUGCAAGGCUGCAGCCCUGGAGCGCCUGCUUUGGAGAGCUUGCCGCGGCUUCCUCAUUGCCAGCUUUAAGGAGACUGAGGGGCAGCUGGAGGACCCGGUGACGGGUGAGCCUGCAACUUGGAUGACCUUUGUCAUCUCCUACUGGGGUGAGCAGAUCGGACAGAAGGUUCGGAAGAUCACAGACUG
rnacentral:lncRNA from 1 species